rnacentral:rRNA from 1 species
UUAGGUUAAGAAGGACUACAUGUCUUGUCGAGCGAAUGGAUUAAGAGCUUGCUCUUAUGAAAUUAGCGGCGGACGGGUGAGUAACACGUGGGUAACCUGCCCAUAAGACUGGGAUAACUCCGGGAAACCGGGGCUAAUACCGGAUAACAUUUUGAACCGCAUGGUUCGAAAUUGAAAGGCGGCUUCGGCUGUCACUUAUGGAUGGACCCGCGUCGCAUUAGCUAGUUGGUGAGGUAACGGCUCACCAAGGCAACGAUGCGUAGCCGACCUGAGAGGGUGAUCGGCCACACUGGGACUGAGACACGGCCCAGACUCCUACGGGAGGCAGCAGUAGGGAAUCUUCCGCAAUGGACGAAAGUCUGACGGAGCAACGCCGCGUGAGUGAUGAAGGCUUUCGGGUCGUAAAACUCUGUUGUUAGGGAAGAACAAGUGCUAGUUGAAUAAGCUGGCACCUUGACGGUACCUAACCAGAAAGCCACGGCUAACUACGUGCCAGCAGCCGCGGUAAUACGUAGGUGGCAAGCGUUAUCCGGAAUUAUUGGGCGUAAAGCGCGCGCAGGUGGUUUCUUAAGUCUGAUGUGAAAGCCCACGGCUCAACCGUGGAGGGUCAUUGGAAACUGGGAGACUUGAGUGCAGAAGAGGAAAGUGGAAUUCCAUGUGUAGCGGUGAAAUGCGUAGAGAUAUGGAGGAACACCAGUGGCGAAGGCGACUUUCUGGUCU